AUUGAACGCUGGCGGAAUGCUUUACACAUGCAAGUCCAACGGCAGCACGGACUUCGGUCUGGUGGCGAGUGGCGAACGGGUGAGUAAUGUAUCGGAACGUGCCCAGUCGUGGGGGAUAACGUAGUGAAAAUUACGCUAAUACCGCAUACGAUCUAUGGAUGAAAGCGGGGGAUCGCAAGACCUCGCGCGAUUGGAGCGGCCGAUAUCAGAUUAGGUAGUUGGUGGGGUAAAGGCCCACCAAGCCAACGAUCUGUAGCUGGUCUGACAGGACGACCAGCCACAAUGGAACUGAGACACGGUCCAGACUCCUACGGGAGGCAGCAGUGGGGAAUUUUGGACAAUGAGCGAAAGCCUGAUCCAGCCAUUCCGCGUGCAGGAUGAAGGCCCUCGGGUUGUAAACUGCUUUUGUACAGAACGAAAAGGUUUCUACUAAUACUAGGAGCUCAUGACGGUACUGUAAGAAUAAGCACCGGCUAACUACGUGCCAGCCGCCGCGGUAA
rnacentral:rRNA from 1 species